AGUGAACGCUGGCGGUAGGCCUAACACAUGCAAGUCGAACGGCAGCACAGUAAGAGCUUGCUCUUACGGGUGGCGAGUGGCGGACGGGUGAGGAAUACAUCGGAAUCUACUUUUUCGUGGGGGAUAACGUAGGGAAACUUACGCUAAUACAGCAUACGACCUACGGGUGAAAGCAGGGGAUCUUCGGACCUUGCGCGAUUGAAUGAGCCGAUGUCGGAUUAGCUAGUUGGCGGGGUAAAGGCCCACCAAGGCGACGAUCCGUAGCUGGUCUGAGAGGAUGAUAGGCCACAUUGGAACGUGGACACGGUCCAGAGUACUGCGGGAGGCAGCAGAGGGGAAUAUUGGACAAUGGGGGCAAGCCUGAUCCAGCCAUACCGCGUGGGUGAAGAAGGCCUUCGGGUUGUAAAGCCCUUUUGUUGGGAAAGAAAAGCAGCAGGUUAAUACCCCGCUGUUCUGACGGUACCCAAAGAAUAAGCACCGGCUAACUUCGUG
rnacentral:rRNA from 1 species